rnacentral:rRNA from 1 species
UAAGACAGAGGUUGCAAACGUUGUUCGGAAUUACUGGGCAUAAAGCGCACGUAGGCGGUCCACUAAGUCAGGUGUGAAAUCCCCCGGCUCAACCGGGGAAUUGCGCCUGAUACUGGUGGGCUUGAGGUCGAUAGGGGUGAGCGGAACUCCAGGUGGAGCGGUGAAAUGCGUAGAUAUCUGGAGGAACACCGGUGGCGAAAGCGGCUCACUGGAUCGAAACUGACGCUGAGGUGCGAAAGCUAGGGUAGCAAACGGGA